AAAGUGGAAAUGAAGCCAAGGAUGACUUGCCGACAUUAAUUUGCUAUGAUGCUAGAGAGCUAGCUAGCUUCAUUUGCUAAGUUUUCCGGCAGGUUAUCCUGUGGCUACAUUUGGCUUUCU
rfam:Glycine soja cultivar W05 scaffold628_21, whole genome shotgun sequence.